GUGAAUUCGAGAAUGUGAGAGACACGUUGGAAGCUGGGUCCAUACACGUGGCGUGAUCAACGUGAAGACAAGUUUCUUUCUUUGUUUUGUUUUGUUUUGCUUUUUCUCUCAAAUCUCUCUAUUUUAAUGAAUCCGUGAUUAUGAAGAUUGAAGAGACAUAAACUCUCGAAGGCUCCCCAGGGAUGAGGAAGCAGUACGAAGCGGUUGUUGUCGUGGGGACGAUGGGGUUUUUACAACGACAUCGUUUUCGUCGCCGAGAGACGCGUGGCAUCCACGCGAUCUGCUGUGUGGGAUUUGGUCUUGUUGGAUGGACACGUGGCGAAGAUGUGCUGUCACGUCUGAUGAGAGCGCGUGAGUUGGGGUUAUUAACGGCUCCGUUAACGGUAAAGUAGCCCAAGUGAUUCAGUUCAGUUUCGGAAACUCAUAAAACCACUCAAAAACCAAACAGUUUUCGGUUCGGUUCGGAUAAAAUCUAAAAUCCGUAUGAUAUCCAAAAAGAAAAACAAAACUAAAUAUAAAAACAUUACCUACGAUUUUUAGUUAAGAUCGGAUCGUGGUCUGAUCAUGUUUUUAUGGGUUUGAUAUAGAUAUUUGUGUUAGGGAUUUUGGUUAAAUCGGGUAGAAUGGUUUCUUAAUUACAAAGUAAACCAAUUGGUAUCGAACCAAAAUCUUUCCGAGUCUUUAUUCGGUUUGCCAUGAAUGUGGUUUAUAUAUAUGUCAGAGACGAAUGUGUUGUGGGAGAGUUAUCUAUCGCAAAAGCGUAUGUGGAGCCAUUUCUCCAAGUGCAUGCAUGUAGCUAUAUUAACUUGUCCAUAUAAAGAAGUAUAGAAAUCCAAGUUUGUUCACAAAAAAGAAAAAAAAAAGAAGCAUAGAAUCAUUUUUACAAUUGUACGUCUAUGAUCUUGUAUGUUUAGUUGUUUACUUACUUGUACAUGUUUAGUUUAAACGGUGAAUAAUGUGUUCAGAUAGUUAAAAUCACGUUAGAGGUUAGAGCGUCAUUGUCAAAAGAGAAGUGAAUAAUUUGUGGAGUGUGGACCUUGUGUGAGUGGACUGUACAUGACAAAAACAUAAGGCAGCAGCCGAAGCAGUGACCACAAAUACCAAAAGCGUGAUUUGUGGUUAAAGCAAAAAGCUAAUAGAGUGGGGUUAUAGUAUUAUUACUUAUUUUAUGUAAACAUGAGUGAGUGGUCCUUUUUAAAAAGAUUUUGGCAGUUGAACUUGAAUGUUUUUUUUUAUGUCUGAGUGCAUACAAUUCAGGACAGAUCUGCAUGGCGUUGGCGUACAUACAAUUCGAGUGGAGGAGACAUAUCAAUCCUAG
rnacentral:lncRNA from 1 species